rnacentral:rRNA from 1 species
UACGUAGGGGGCUAGCGUUGUCCGGAAUCAUUGGGCGUAAAGCGCGUGUAGGCGGCCCGGUAAGUCCGCUGUGAAAGUCGGGGGCUCAACCCUCGGAUGCCGGUGGAGUACUGUCGGGCUCGAGUACGGAAGAGGCGAGUGGAAUUCCUGGUGUAGCGGUGAAAUGCGCAGAUAUCAGGAGGAACACCAAUUGCGAAGGCAGCUCGCUGGGACGUAACUGACGCUGAGACGCGAAAGCGUGGGGAGCAAACAGG